UUGCAGGAAUGGAAAAACCAAAACACGACUGGGUCAGGUGACUUCUCUGGUCACAAAGUAACAGCUACAGGGAGAGUCUGUGUUGUUUUGUAACUUUGCGUCCUGGUGUGACAGAAACGUGAACAUUUUCAAAAUGAAACAACCUGGGGCCCUUACCUGGGGUGAGGGAGCGCGGGGGCGCGUGAGGCCCUGUCCCCCAUCCCCUGCGGGUGUCCACAGAAGCCUCAAGUUCCGACAGAGCUCCUUUUCUGAGGAGACUUCUGAAAGCUUACGCGUGGGACAGGAGAGCUGUUUUUACACAAAAUUAACUGAAAGAAUUCACCUACUUCACAGGCUAUUUUUCCCCCCUUGAGACUUUAAAAUGAACUUCAUUUCCUUUUAAAAGUUCUAAAUAAGGGAGAAAGCUGGGGUGCGGAGCUGUUCUCAGGAGCCUCCCCCGGCCCCCAGGUCACAACCCUCCCUUUCAGAUGUGAGGCCUUCGAGCUGCAACACUGCCAGCAGCUUUUUUUUCCUUUCUAUUUUUAAGACCUGAAAGUAUGAACAAUUUCAGUUUUCUUCCUCAAUCUUGACUGGAAGUCACAAACAGCACAGAUGACUAGUAACACUUUGAAAUCUUGAGCGUCUCGGCACGAGCUCUGACCAUGGUCAGCAUUGCAACACUCUGCUAUGGUUAGUAGUCAAGGCGACCUGGAGAUGUGUGCAGGUUGAACCAGAGUUGGAGGGAGCCUAACGCAACAGCGUGGAAGGAAGGGGGGAGGAAAGGCGGACCUCACAGAUGGAACGGUGGGAUCAGAUCAGACCUGGUCCUUCUAGAAUCAGCCAAUCCAGGCUGAGGGCCCCCAGGCAAAAGAUCUGUAACCCCUGACUGGAAGAGCCCCUGAGGAAAAGAAUAAGAGAAACUGAAGGAGGAGAAGGCUGGUGUUUGUUUAAACAAAACAAUUUCUGUUUCUGGGCCACCAGGAAGCUACCUGGUUGGGAAAACCCACUGUCUCAGUGUGCUCCAGGCUGAUGAACUGGCCCCAGUCAAGGGACGGGCCUGGCCUUCCAAAGGUGUCUAACUUUUGAAGAAUCUCAGACUCUCCAAUCAAUUAACGGUGGGCCCUGAAUCCAAUACUGGUGUCUUCAUGCGAGAAAGGAGAGAAAGAUGUGGAUACAGAGACAGCGAGGAGCCAAAGGGAAGAAGGCCAGGCACGGGGAGGCCGACUGCAGUGACGCAGCUGUAGGCCCAGGACACCCCAGAAGCUCAGAAGAGGCUAGGGAGGAUUCUUCCCUGUGCCUGUGAGGGUCCGGCCCUGCCGCCACGUUGAUUUUGGACUUCCGGCCUCCAGAAUUGUGAGACAAAUUUCCGCUGUUUUAAGCUCCCCAGUUUGUGGUCAUUUCUAAGGGCAGCCCUAGGAAACUGACAUACCUCCCAACCCCGAAACCUUCUCCCCUCAGAGCUCGUAGUUGUGGUAAGCAUUUGCUCAGCUAAGCGCACUCUACUACAGCAUGAGAAGACAGGAAGAGGAGCCACAGAGGGAGUCCGUGGCCUGGGGGUCGGGCGGCAGACCAAGAAGCAGCUGUCUGCACUUGAUAACAGCGUGGGGCUGUAGAUAUACACAUGCGGGAGGCUGGACAGCACCAAGACGUCUAGGACAGACCUGAAGAUGAAGCAGGUUUGACGCUGAGGCCCAUCACAUUAUUUCCCAUAAGCAUAUGCUAGGGGAAAAGGCCACAAAUGUGUGCCUUUGAUUUGUUUUCAGAGAAUGAGUGGUAGAUAAUUAUCAACGUAAGAAACAUUUAUGAUAAAGUUAAAACUACAAUACUGUCAUCUGCUGAGAUUGCAGAAUUUGGGAGGCUGGUACCCUCCUGCCUGCCCAAUGUGCAAAGAUGAAUCAGACAAGGAGCCUGCUCUCAGCAUGAUUCCAGGCUGGCCCUGUGCCAUACGUCCCACCAACACAGUACAAGGUGAGCACCUGUAACCAGGUGGUCUGGUCUCCAUUCCGAACCUACACCAUAUCAAAGUUUUACUAAAAGCAUGUCCAUCCAUGGCCUUUCCAAAGGUACUUGAGUUAUUUUCAGUAAUGUCAAAUGAGGGAUUAUGUAGCAAGGAUGAUGUGACUUUUUAAAAUUUUUAGUGUUGUGAUACUCAUUCUCUGUUCUAGACUGCACCAAGGUGGAUAUCAAGGGCAGGUUUCGGCUUAUACAUCAUCUCCUCUAGGAAGCCUACUUCAAUGUAAGUCUGGAUUUGGGGCUGCGUGUGCAACAGGUAUUGAAUGAAUUGCAUGCAAUGCCAUCUGAAGACUUUGGUGCCUACCCUUGGUGAAGAUCUUACACACAACUCCCAGAGUAACUUUUCUCAACUACUCCAGUGCCACUUCCUUCUUAGGAAUAUGUUCUAACUUUCUGCUGCCUGGCACAUCAAAUCCAAGCCCCUCGGUUUUGCAUCCAGCGCUCUCCUCUCCUCAUUUGCUCCUCCCUUUCAAUGCCCGUUACUCUUCAUAGUCCUCUGCUCUACUUGGACCAUCAUGUUGCUCUCCCGUCUAUAUCUUGCCUGUGUUCUUGACUUGAGUUUUCCGACUAGGAAUCCCAAGCUCUCCCCACCAGACCAAACUGCCUUUGGAGGCAACAAAACAAAAUUUUCCCUUUUUCAGGAACCAGAGGUCAUUGCGGUCUUGCUCUGGUUUCACGACAACAAAGCAGCAUUUCUGUAACUUCUCUUUUUACACAAGCCCUCUUGCUAGUAUGUUACAGCAUUUGCAAUCCUUUAUCAGUCUCGAGAUUCCUAGUAUCCUAGGCAAAAUAAAUAACAGCAAUACAA